UUCGCUGGGGUUUGCUUUUCCAGUUUCCUCUUCUCCGGCUGUCGAUGCGCUUCGUCUUCGCCAGCUUCGCGUGAAAGGGAGUUUUGAACGAGUCGCUAAGUAACUUCGUCGUAUCCUUCGACAACGUUCCUUACUGUGGGAUCCGAAGUCACACCUCCUCGCCGUUCUUCUGUUGGAUCGGAAGUAACGACGACGACGACGGGAGCUUGCUCGUUGCGAAGCUGCAUAACAGGAAGGAUGCAAAUGUUUUGGAGAAGUGUUCGUGGUUUUGGAAAUCAUCUUGCCAGCUAUAAAUUUGCACAUUCAACAUCUUCGGAGAGCUUUCCCGUGAAUAACAAAUUGUCAACAUUGAAGCUAAAUUUUUCUACAUUUCAAAGAGGACCAAUCUACCAAAGAAAUUAUUCUUUUUCAUUUCCUCCUAAGAAUUUUUCAGUUGCAGCAAGCAUGUUGUAUCAGGGUGAGCUGCUGCGGUCUAAUUACCCAAUAUUUCAUCUUUACCUUUGCAAAAACAUAUCUUUAAGGCACAUGACGACACUUGGUCCCACUGAUCCACGCUCGGAUGUGGAACAACCCCCGCGAAUCAAAUUUAAGAGACUUGAUAAAACAGCAAAGCACAUAAUGAAUAUAUUAGACAAGGAAGCUGUGGAGAAAGUAAAAGCUGAAAGAGACAUUCCGGAAAUAAAACCUGGUUACAUUGUGCAGUUGAAAGUGGAGGUGCCUGAGAACAGACGACGUGUUUCAAUACUGAAGGGCAUUGUAAUAGCUAAACGGAAUGCUGGCCUGAAUAGUACAUUUAGAUUGCGCAGACUGGUUGCUGGAGUUGGCGUUGAAUCUGUUUUUCCACUGCUUACGUCUUGUUCCGCCCGGAGGCUUAUGCCUCACCUCGCUUAGACAAAACGCUUCGAUUUCCGUUUCCGCCUUUUAAAACCUUGGUUCCAGCUUGAGUGUUUGCGUCAACAUCCUAAGAAACUCAUAAGUCGCCAGAAGUGGUGAUAGGUACUCUCCAAACAUCAAGGAAAUGAAGGUUUUGGACAAGAAGAAAGUGAGGAGGGCAAAGUUGUACUAUCUCAGGGAAAGGAUGAACCCACUCAAGAAAUGAAAAAUUAUUCCUGAUUUCAUUGUAAUUUGUAUAUUUUUUGUAGGAGGGAUCAAGGGCUGAAUCAGUCAUAAUUUUCAAGGGGGGCAAACUUAUAAGUAACUAUUGGCAGAUAUAUCGGGAGUCCAAGGGGACAGCGCCCUCGGAACAAAUUUUGAUGUACUAUUUCUCUUUGUAUUUGGUUCAUCGUUCCCUAACAAUAACACCUCUACACGUGUUUAAUUAUGCUGGGGGCAA